UACGGGGGGAGCAAGCGUUGUUCGGAUUUACUGGGCGUAAAGGGCGCGUAGGCGGCGCGGUAAGUCACUUGUGAAAUCUCUGAGCUUAACUCAGAACGGCCAAGUGAUACUGCAGUGCUAGAGUGCAGAAGGGGCAAUCGGAAUUCUUGGUGUAGCGGUGAAAUGCGUAGAUAUCAAGAGGAACACCUGAGGUGAAGACGGGUUGCUAGGCUGACACUGACGCUGAGGCGCGAAAGCCAGGGGAGCAAACGGG
rnacentral:rRNA from 1 species